rnacentral:rRNA from 1 species
AAUCAUUUGAAUAGUAUUAGUUAUGAUCUUUUAAGCUCAAAUAACUUGGCGGUAAAAUACCUAUAUAGAGGAACCUGUAAAUUAAUUGAUAAUCCACGAUAGACUUUACUUUAUAUAUAUUUGUAUAUCUCUAUACCUUGGAAUGUUUUGCAAAAAAAUUUUCUUUUUCUUAGGAUUUAUAUUAGGUCAAGAUGCAGUUUUUAUAAAGUUUUUAUGGGUUACUUUAAUUUUAAAUACUUUUAGGAUUUUUUUAUAAACUAAAUUAUGAAUCAGGAUUUAAUAGUAAUUUUAAUUAAUUAAUUAAUAUGAAUUAAUGCACUGUUUUAUGCACA